AUCGAAGAACAUGACUACCAAACGAAAUUUCGUAAUGUGGUCAAAUUUCUUAAAGACGGCGAUAAGGUAAAAUGUUCUGUCCGCUUCCGCGGUCGUGAAAUUACCCAUGCCGAUAUCGGUAAAAAAAUCCUGGACCGCGUCAAAGACGAGGUUGCAGAUAUUUCAACCGUAGAGCGUAUUCCUAAAUUGGAAGGACGCAGCAUGAUUAUGAUUUUGGCACCUAAAAACUAAUCACAGCUUAUACAAAUUUUGAGGGGGAAGUACCAUGCCUAAAAUGAAAACCCAUAGCAGUCUGAAAGACCGCUUCAAAAUUACCGGAUCUGGUAAA
rnacentral:misc_RNA from 1 species